rnacentral:rRNA from 1 species
AUUGAACGCUGGCGGCAUGCCUUACACAUGCAAGUCGAACGGCAGCACGGGAGCAAUCCUGGUGGCGAGUGGCGAACGGGUGAGUAAAGUAUCGGAACGUGCCCAGUCGUGGGGGAUAACGUAGCGAAAGUUACGCUAAUACCGCAUACGAUCCAUGGAUGGAAGCGGGGGAUCGCAAGACCUCGCGCGAUUGGCGCGGCCGAUAUCAGAUUAGAUAGUUGGUGGGGUAAAGGCUCACCAAGCCGACAAUCUGUAGCUGGUCUGAGAGGACGACCAGCCACACUGGGACUGAGACACGGCCCAGACUCCUACGGGAGGCAGCAGUGGGGAAUUUUGGACAAUGGGCGAAAGCCUGAUCCAGCCAUGCCGCGUGCAGGAUGAAGGCCUUCGGGUUGUAAACUGCUUUUGUACGGAACGAAAAGGUUUGGCCUAAUAAGCUGAGCUCAUGACGGUACCGUAAGAAUAAGCACCGGCUAACUACGUGCCAGCCGCCGCAGUAA